UACGGAGGGGGCUAGCGUUGUUCGGAAUUACUGGGCGUAAAGCGCACGUAGGCGGACUGUUAAGUCGGGGGUGAAAUCCUGGGGCUCAACCUCAGAAUUGCCUCCGAUACUGGCAGUCUCGAGUGCGGGAGAGGUGAGUGGAAUUCCCAGUGUAGAGGUGAAAUUCGUAGAUAUUGGGAAGAACACCAGUGGCGAAGGCGGCUCACUGGCCCGUAACUGACGCUGAGGUGCAAAAGCGUGGGGAGCAAACAGG
rnacentral:rRNA from 1 species